rnacentral:rRNA from 1 species
GCGGCGUGCCUAACACAUGCAAGUCGAGCGAUGAAGUUCCUUCGGGAACGGAUUAGCGGCGGACGGGUGAGUAACACGUGGGCAACCUGCCUUAUAGAGGGGAAUAGCCUUCCGAAAGGAAGAUUAAUACCGCAUAAGAUUGUAGCUUCGCAUGAAGCAGCAAUUAAAGGAGCAAUCCGCUAUAAGAUGGGCCCGCGGCGCAUUAGCUAGUUGGUGAGGUAACGGCUCACCAAGGCGACGAUGCGUAGCCGACCUGAGAGGGUGAUCGGCCACAUUGGGACUGAGACACGGCCCAGACUCCUACGGGAGGCAGCAGUGGGGAAUAUUGCACAAUGGGGGAAACCCUGAUGCAGCAACGCCGCGUGAGUGAUGACGGCCUUCGGGUUGUAAAGCUCUGUCUUUGGGGACGAUAAUGACGGUACCCAAGGAGGAAGCCACGGCUAACUACGUGCCAGCAGCCGCGGUAAUACGUAGGUGGCAAGCGUUGUCCGGAUUUACUGGGCGUAAAGGGAGCGUAGGCGGAUUUUUAAGUGGGAUGUGAAAUACCCGGGCUCAACCUGGGUGCUGCAUUCCAAACUGGAAAUCUAGAGUGCAGGAGGGGAAAGUGGAAUUCCUAGUGUAGCGGUGAAAUGCGUAGAGAUUAGGAAGAACACCAGUGGCGAAGGCGACUUUUCUGGACUGUAACUGACGCUGAGGCUUGAAAGGGUGGGGAGCAAACGGGAUUAGAUACCCUGGUAGUCCACGCGGUAAACGGUGAAUAUUUGGGGUGGGGGUUGUCAUGACCUCUGUGCCGCCGCUAACGCAUUAAGUAUUCCGCCUGGGGAGUACGGUCGCAAGAUUAAAACUCAAAGGAAUUGACGGGGGCCCGCACAAGUAGCGGAGCAUGUGGUUUAAUUCGAAGCAACGCGAAGAACCUUACCUAGACUUGACAUCUCCUGAAUUACCAUGUAAUGUGGGAAGUCCUUUCGGGGACAGGAAGACAGGUGGUGCAUGGUUGUCGUCAGCUCGUGUCGUGAGAUGUUGGGUUAAGUCCCGCAACGAGCGCAACCCUUAUUGUUAGUUGCUACCAUUUAGUUGAGCACUCUAGCGAGACUGCCCGGGUUAACCGGGAGGAAGGUGGGGAUGACGUCAAAUCAUCAUGCCCCUUAUGUCUAGGGCUACACACGUGCUACAAUGGCCGGUACAACGAGAUGCAAUACCGUGAGGUGGAGCAAAACUAUAAAACCGGUCUCAGUUCGGAUUGUAGGCUGAAACUCGCCUACAUGAAGCUGGAGUUACUAGUAAUCGCGAAUCAGAAUGUCGCGGUGAAUACGUUCCCGGGCCUUGUACACACCGCCCGUCACACCAUGAGA